UCUGUACUCCCUCCGUUCCAAAAUACUUGACUUCCAUUUGUCCAAAAAUGGAUGUACCUAUAUACUAAGACAUGUCUAGAUACAUAUAUAUUUUGACAAAUAGAAGGCAUGUAUUGUGCAACGGAGGGAAUAGAAU
rfam:Triticum aestivum genome assembly, contig: Triticum_aestivum_CS42_TGACv1_scaffold_556143_7AL